GACGAACGCUGGCGGCGUGCCUAACACAUGCAAGUCGAGCGAUGAAGUUCUUCGGAACGGAUUAGCGGCGGACGGGUGAGUAACACGUGGGUAACCUACCUUGUAGAGGGGGAUAGCCUUCCGAAAGGAAGAUUAAUACCGCAUAACAUCUUUUUAUCGCAUGGUAGAAAGAUCAAAGGAGUAAUCCGCUACAAGAUGGACCCGCGGCGCAUUAGCUAGUUGGUGAGGUAACGGCUCACCAAGGCGACGAUGCGUAGCCGACCUGAGAGGGUGAUCGGCCACAUUGGAACUGAGACACGGUCCAGACUCCUACGAGAGGCAGCAGUGGGGAAUAUUGCGCAAUGGGGGAAACCCUGACGCAGCAACGCCGCGUGAAUGAAGAAGGCCUUAGGGUUGUAAAGUUCUGUUUACGGGGACGAUAAUGACGGUACCCGUGGAGGAAGCCACGGCUAACUACGUGCCAGCCGCCGCCGUAA
rnacentral:rRNA from 1 species